rfam:Canis lupus familiaris chromosome 14, whole genome shotgun sequence.
AGGAGGAACAGCCCCAGUGUCGGGGCAGCUCUGGAAACCUGGAUUCAGCUCCGGCAGGAACUCCGUCUGCAGGGCCUGGAGGCUCCGGGGCGGG